CUCCUUUAGAGUCUAAGGUCAUGAUCUCAAACUCUUGUCAAGACUCCCAAACUAACACCCAACUCGGUGCCCACUCCUUGUUCGUAUUUCACACCUUCACCCGCGGCGAACAACAACUUACUCCAAGCACGUACUUAUACGUUGUGGUGUGGGCACACUCUCGUCUCUACUUGUCUGCAUUCCAAACGUUACAAAUUGGCCAUUUCUCUUUUACGCUCUCUACAAGGUUUUACUCGGAUGAUACAUACACUAAAAGUGUUGGACUUGGGGGUGUGACAAAAUAGAUAUAGCUGUAAAUGCUUGGUGUGUCACCGUCGUGUAAAACUGCAAAUAUAAAUGGAACUUUGCUCAGCCUCCUUGAUAAAUGCAAAUCAAUGCUUGAACUGAAGAAACUUCAUGCUAUUGGGAUUUCUUAUGGUUUAUCUCAUGAAUACUCAUUUAUAUUCAAAAUUCUUUCUUUUUCCGCUCUAUCCAAUUCAGGCGACAUUGAUUAUUCCUACAGGGUUUUCUCCCAGAUUUCCAGUCCAACAAUUUUUAGCUGGAAUAUAAUCAUAAGAGGCUAUUCAAAUAGCAAAAAUCCAAUCCAUUCCCUGUCUAUUUUUCUAAAGAUGUUGCGGCAUGGGGUUGCACCAGACUACUUAACAUACCCAUUUCUCGUGAAGGCCUCAGCACGCCUUUCAAAACAGAAAAGUGGUGUGUCGGUGCAUGCCCAAAUUAUAAAAACUGGGCAUGAGUCUGAUCGAUUUAUCCAGAAUUCUUUGAUUCACAUGUAUGCUUCUUGUGGGAAUAUCAUGUGGGCUCAUAAAGUAUUUGAGAGUAUGCAGGGGAAAAAUUUGGUUUCAUGGAAUUCCAUGUUGGACGGCUAUGCUAAGUGUGGAGAAAUGGCCAUGGCUCAAAAAGUUUUUGAGUCUAUGCAAGAGAGGGAUGUUCGGUCAUGGAGCUCUUUCAUUGAUGGUUAUGUGAAGGCUGGGGAGUACAGGGAAGCUAUGGCUGUCUUUGAAAAGAUGCGGGCUGUUGGUCCCAAAGCCAAUGAAGUGACUAUGGUCAGUGUCUUGUCUGCCUGUGCACACCUUGGUGCUCUACAAAAGGGAAGGAUGAUGCACCAGUACAUUAUUGACAAUCUUUUACCAAUGACAAUGGUCUUACAAACUUCUCUGGUGGACAUGUAUGCUAAAUGCGGGGCAAUAGAGGAGGCUUUGUUUGUUUUUCGCGGCAUCUCUAAGAGUCAAACCGAUGUGUUCAUUUGGAACGCAAUGAUUGGUGGUCUUGCUACACAUGGGUUAGUGGAAGAAUCUCUUAAAUUGUUUAAGGAAAUGCAAAUGGCCGGUAUCCGGUCUGAUGAGAUCACAUACCUCUGUCUGUUGGCUGCUUGUGCCCAUGGAGGACUAGUUAAAGAAGCAUGGAACUUCUUUGAGAGCCUUGUAAAACGUGGCAUGACACCUACAAGUGAGCACUAUGCUUGCAUGGUAGAUGUGCUGGCGCGUGCAGGUCAAUUAACCACCGCAUACCAAUUUAUAUGUCAAAUACCCAUAGAACCAACGGCUUCCAUGUUAGGUGCUAUUUUUAGCGGGUGCAUCAACCAUAGAAAUUUUGAUCUUGCAGAAACAGUCGGCAGGAAGCUUAUUGAGCUAGAUCCAAACAAUGAUGGAAGAUAUAUUGGCCUGUCAAAUGUUUAUGCAGUUGUCAAACGCUGGGAUGAUUCAAAAAGCAUGAGAGAAGCCAUGGAGAGAAGAGGGGUGAAAAAAUCACCCGGGUUUAGUUUUGUUGAAAUAUCUGAGAUCCAUCAUAGAUUUAUUGCUCACGAUAAAACACACCCUGAUUCAGAUGAAACUUAUUCUAUGCUACAUUUUGUUGUCUGUCAAAUGAAACAUGGUUGUCCCCAAGACAAUCAGGAGGAUAAUUUGUUGAAUGAUACAUCAAUUGAAGAUGAUUUGAUUCUCUUUGAGUAGAUUGCAUUAAUGUCUGUAGCAGUUAACAUUUGUUGUGGAAGAGUUAUUGCACAGAACCUGGAUUUUAAUCAAAAAGUGACAAAAUAGCAGUGCCAGAGUAUUGACAUGGAUACUUUUUGCUAAUCUUUUCUUGUAUAACAAACCAUGAAGACCACAAGAGGCUACCUGCAGUCAGAAGUAUUGAACCUAUAAUCCAUUUCUCUAACUUUGCAGCUGGUGGUACACUUGUAUAUGUAUUUGCUACAUGUUGAGACUGUGGGUUGUUAAAGGAAAUUCCUUUAUAAAGGGCUAAUAACAAAACUCCACCAAUGCACACAAUAGUUCCCAAGAUUUUGGCUUUGCCACUCUUGCUUUUCAUGUUCACCUUCUCUAUCCUAGAAAAUUUUCAAACCAAAAGGCACCAUGUUGAGGAAUGCACAAGAGAAUGUGGCAGAUGUAUACUCAAGUCCAAGAAGAAACAAAUAUUGGGGGAGUGUUACACUGAAAAAGUUUAGUCAAUAACUACAGUUAUGACAGUUAAAAAAAUAUUAGUACAGAACUAGAAUUUUAUUCUAUGGUCCCAAGAAUUCAUACCCGAUAAGAGCUGAGAGAAAAAGGAGACAUAUUAUGUGAGCCUCCGGUUUGUGUUUCCUGUAAAAAGUGCAAUACUGUUUUAUAUUGUCCUAGUAUUAUGUAUAGUUCUAGGAUAAAUUAACCUCAAGCUUAUUACUUGACCGUGGAAUAAACAAACACUUGUGUAAGUUAUUUUUAUAAUUUAUGACAAAAUAAAGUUAAAUUGUUUUCGUUUAA